rnacentral:rRNA from 1 species
GACGAACGCUGGCGGCGUGCUUAACACAUGCAAGUCGAACGGAAAGGCCCUGCUUUUGUGGGGUGCUCGAGUGGCGAACGGGUGAGUAACACGUGAGUAACCUGCCCUUGACUUUGGGAUAACUUCAGGAAACUGGGGCUAAUACCGGAUAGGAGCUCCUGCUGCAUGGUGGGGGUUGGAAAGUUUCGGCGGUUGGGGAUGGACUCGCGGCUUAUCAGCUUGUUGGUGGGGUAGUGGCUUACCAAGGCUUUGACGGGUAGCCGGCCUGAGAGGGUGACCGGCCACAUUGGGACUGAGAUACGGCCCAGACUCCUACGGGAGGCAGCAGUGGGGAAUAUUGCACAAUGGGCGGAAGCCUGAUGCAGCAACGCCGCGUGCGGGAGGACGGCCUUCGGGUUGUAAACCGCUUUCGCCUGUGACGAAGCGUGAGUGACGGUAAUGGGGAAAGAAGCACCGGCUAACUACGU